UUCCCAGCAUCCCCUAGGCCACUUCUCUCACUACAAACCUCAGUCUCAAGCCACUUGGUUGUCAUGGAAACAGGCGGAAUAGAACAGAUGGUCUCCACUAGCCAAAUUCCAAUUAAACAGGGCAGAGAUGGAUGGAGAAAGGGGGUGUAUGCGACUAGGCCACAGAGGGCUCUGCCCCCCAACCCAGCCUGCCCGCCCUGGGCUCCCCGAGGAUGCACAGGAAGCCCCCGAUCCCUUCCGGCAGACCAGGGACUGGGGUCAGAAGGACGUUCUGGGAGGUCUCAAGGAACUGUUCUGGCACCCAUCGGGUGGGAUAGCACCAAGGAUCCGGAUGGAGGAAGAGGCCUGGAAACCCACACGGGCCAACAGCAAGUUUUCUAGCAGUUGGAGAUGAAAAUGUCGCCCCAAAGCCCGAGCUCAAGGACGCGUGGCCCCCUCUCCUCCUCACCCUGAACCUCCAAUCCUGUUUCCACUUGGGGAGUCACCUGGCCUUCAAGUGCCCCCUGAGGCACAUUAGCCUUUCAAUAAAGCCUUUAACCUCUG